rnacentral:rRNA from 1 species
CUCAGUUCGGAUCGGAGUCUGCAACCCGACUCCGUGAAGCUGGAUUCGCUAGUAAUCGCGCAUCAGCCAUGCCGCGGUGAAUACGUUCCCGGGUCUUGUACACACCGCCCGUCACACCAUGGGAGUCGGAAAUGCCCGAAGCCGGUGACUCAACCUUUAAGGAGAGAGCCGUCGAAGGCAGGUCUGAUAACUGGGGGUGAAGUCGUAACAAGGUAUC